rnacentral:rRNA from 1 species
CCUACGGGAGGCAGCAGUGAGGAAUAUUGGUCAAUGGACGAGAGUCUGAACCAGCCAAGUAGCGUGAAGGAUGACUGCCCUAUGGGUUGUAAACUUCUUUUAUAUAGGAAUAAAAUGUUCCACGUGUGGGUUUUUGUAUGUACCAUAUGAAUAAGGAUCGGCUAACUCCGUGCCAGCAGCCGCGGUAAUACGGAGGAUCCGAGCGUUAUCCGGAUUUAUUGGGUUUAAAGGGAGCGUAGGUGGUUUGUUAAGUCAGUGGUGAAAGUUUGCGGCUCAACCAUAAAAUUGCAGUUGAUACUGGCUGACUUGAGUAUAUUUGAGGUAGGCGGAAUGCGUGGUGUAGCGGUGAAAUGCAUAGAUAUCACGAAGAACUCCGAUUGCGAAGGCAGCUUACUAAACUGCAACUGACACUGAUGCACGAAAGCGUGGGGAUCAAACAGGAUUAGAUACCCGGGUAGUC